rnacentral:rRNA from 1 species
UACGAAGGGGCUAGCGUUGCUCGGAAUCACUGGGCGUAAAGCGCACGUAGGCGGAUUGCUAAGUCAGGGGUGAAAUCCUGGAGCUCAACUCCAGAACUGCCUUUGAUACUGAGGAUCUUGAGUCCGGGAGAGGUGAGUGGAACUGCGAGUGUAGAGGUGAAAUUCGUAGAUAUUCGCAAGAACACCAGUGGCGAAGGCGGCUCACUGGCCCGGUACUGACGCUGAGGCACGAAAGCGUGGGGAGCAAACAGGGA